GGUUACGUAGCUUAAAUAAAGCAUAACGCUGAAGAUGUUAAGAUAGGUCGUAACAGACCUCAUAAUCA
rnacentral:tRNA from 1 species